CGUCCUCUCAAGCUCUUUUGCUUGGAUAACAUUGGGGAAGCAAUACAAAGUCGAUCCGGGCUCUGUGUGCUCCCCAGAAAUAUAUAGGCGGUACGGUUCCAGCAAACCAGACGUAAUAAUCUCUUAUCUCGUCCUUUGCUUUGGGUCUGUUGCUUGCCUCUUAAUCCACAUCUUUCUUCA
rnacentral:misc_RNA from 1 species